UACGGGGGGGGCAAGCGUUGUUCGGAAUUACUGGGCGUAAAGGGCUCGUAGGCGGCCAACUAAGUCAUACGUGAAAUCCCUCGGCUUAACCGGGGAACUGCGUCUGAUACUGGAUGGCUUGAGUUCGGGAGAGGGAUGCGGAAUUCCAGGUGUAGCGGUGAAAUGCGUAGAUAUCUGGAGGAACACCGGUGGCGAAGGCGGGUCUCUGGGCAUUUCCUGACGCUGAGGCGCGAAAGCGUGGGGAGCAAACGGG
rnacentral:rRNA from 1 species